rnacentral:rRNA from 1 species
AUUGAACGCUGGCGGCAUGCUUUACACAUGCAGGUCGAACGGUAACAGGCCGCAAGGUGCUGACGAGUGGCGAACGGGUGAGUAAUGCAUCGGAACGUGCCCAGUCGUGGGGGAUAACGCAGCGAAAGCUGCGCUAAUACCGCAUACGAUCUAUGGAUGAAAGCGGGGGACCGGAAGGCCUCGCGCGAUGGGAGCGGCCGAUGUCAGAUUAGGUAGUUGGUGGGGUAAAGGCUCACCAAGCCGACGAUCUGUAGCUGGUCUGAGAGGACGACCAGCCACACUGGGACUGAGACACGGCCCAGACUCCUACGGGAGGCAGCAGUGGGGAAUUUGGACAAUGGGGGCAACCCUGAUCCAGCAAUGCCGCGUGCAGGAAGAAGGCCUUCGGGUUGUAAACUGCUUUUGUACGGAACGAAACGGCUCUGGUUAAUACCUGGGGUUAAUGACGGUACCGUAAGAAUAAGCACCGGCUAACUACGUGCCAGCCGCCGCAGUAAUAC